rnacentral:rRNA from 1 species
CCUACGGGCGGUAGCAGUGAGGAAUAUUGGUCAAUGGGCGGGAGCCUGAACCAGCCAAGUCGCGUGAGGGAAGACGGUCCUAUGGAUUGUAAACCUCUUUAGGCGGGGAGCAAUGCCGGGCACGCGUGCCCGGAGGGAGAGUACCCGCAGAAUAAGCAUCGGCUAACUCCGUGCCAGCAGCCGCGGUAAUACGGAGGAUGCGAGCGUUAUCCGGAUUUAGUGGGUUUCAAGGGUGCGUAGGCGGAUUUUUAAGUCAGCGGUAAAAUGUCCGGGCUCAACCCGGGCCGGCCGUUGAAACUGGGGAUCUUGAGUGGGCGAGAAGUAUGCGGAAUGCGUGGUGUAGCGGUGAAAUGCAUAGAUAUCACGCAGAACUCCGAUUGCGAAGGCAGCAUACCGGCGCCCGACUGACGCUGAGGCACGAAAGCGUGGGGAUCGAACAGGAUUAGAUACCCGUGUAGUC